rnacentral:rRNA from 1 species
UACGGGGGGUGCGAGCGUUGUCCGGAAUCACUGGGCGUAAAGGGCGCGUAGGUGGCGUCGUAAGUCUGUGGUGAAAGCCCGGAGCUCAACUCCGGGUCUGCCGCGGAUACUGCGAGGCUUGAGUGCUGUAGAGGGGGGUAGAAUUCCCGGUGUAGCGGUGGAAUGCGCAGAUAUCGGGAGGAACACCCGUGGCGAAGGCGGCACUCUGGGACGGUACUGACGCUGAGACGCGAAAGCGUGGGGAGCAAACAGG